AAAUCCGCUUUGAUAAUGCGGGAGGGAUGGGGAGCGAAAUUUAGUAGCGAAGUAGCUGAUUUCACACUGUCAAGAAAAGUCUCUAUCGAGGUUAAAGGUACCCGUACCGCAAACCGACACAGGUGGGUGAGGAGAGUAUCCGAAGGCCAGCGAGAGAACUGUUGUUAAGGAACUCGGCAAAAUGACCCCGUAACUUAGGGAUAAGGGGUGCCACCAUCAGGUGGCCGCAGAGAAUAGGCCCAAGCGACUGUUUACCAAAAACAUAGGUU
rnacentral:rRNA from 1 species